UCUAUAAAUCCCGAAACUUUUAUUUUAUUAGUUUUAUAAUAUGCGGAGAUUUAUAAAAUUAGUUUGGUAAUUUUUCGAGAAAGUUUUAUGGCGAGUUAUCCUGUAAAUCAACUAAAUAGCGGGUGUGUGGGUGGUUAUUCAGCUUUAAAACCAAACGUGGCAGUCUUUGGCCAAAGCACGUGACAUUGUUUUUCUUCACCGCCAUUCCUUUUCUUCCUUUUAUUUACAUCAGUCUCUCAAUCUCUCUGGCUCACCUCCCUCUCUCACCUUUUCUCUUUUUCUUCUACAAGCCACUAUCCAUUAGUUGUUUUUUUUCUUAAUCUUUCUCCGUCGUUCUCUGAUGACCGCCGUCGCGGGUUCCGACCAGGCGCCGCCGGACCGCCACCGCGUGUUUCUUCCUCUACCAUAGCCCUGCAUCAGUUAUAGAUCAGUAGAAUAGAUCAAGACGUGUAUAUCGAGAAUGUUCAGAAUUAAUCCGAUGGUGUUGCAAGUUGAAGCAAGAAUAAUCUGAGAUGACAGACGUAGAAAGAGUAUUGUCAGAAGCUGCUUAGAAAGAUAUGAUUGUGCGGUAUAGUGCUAUUAGAAUCGUGACUAGACGUCGGAGUUAAGCUAGGGAUAAAGAUGAUUCACUAAAGACUGCGCGUAAAGAGUAAUGAUAGGCAAUGAUUGCAAGUGGUUGAGUUCAGGAAAAUUGUUAGGUAGGGUAUCCGGGACGAUGUGAUUAAGACUAGAUGCAGUUGGAGUUCUGCAAUUCAAUUCAGUUGGAAAUGAGAUUUGUUUAUUUGGUUAUCAGCUACUCUUCUUAUCGAUGUUUAGCUGAUAAUGCAGUUUAAUUUGUAAUGAAAUUUGAUAGUUUUAGUUUCUGAUUUCAAUGCUGUAACCUGUAUGCGAUCCUGUUUUCAGGGGGUGAAUUUGAUUUUAAUUUAAAUCAUUUUUUUAAAAA